UACGGGGGGGGCGAGCGUUGUUCGGAAUUAUUGGGCGUAAAGGGCGCGUAGGCGGUGUGGUAAGUCUGAUGUGAAACCUCCAGGCUCAACUUGGAGCUUGCAUCAGAAACUGCCGUGCUAGAGUGUGGGAGAGGAGAGUGGAAUUCCUGGUGUAGCGGUGAAAUGCGUAGAUAUCUGGAGGAACACCGGUGGCGAAGGCGGCAUCCUGGACCGGCAUUGACGCUGAGGCGCGAAAGCCAGGGGAGCAAACGGG
rnacentral:rRNA from 1 species